CCACACACCCUGAGGGAUCUACUCCAAAUUUUGCUGCAAAACAGUAACAUGGUUUGAGGACCACAUAUCUCCAGUCUAGCAUUGCUCAGACAGGUAUAAUAUGCUGUCAUCUAGCAAAGCUGAUUACUUACGAACACCUAAAAAUAGCUACAAAAAAAAAGUGCUGCGUACCAGUGUUCAAAAUUAAAGACCAGAGGCUCUCACAUUGAGAAAUUGCAUAUCAAGCCAACAUGUUCACAACUGUAUUAAAAAGGACAAUUAGAGUACCCACAUUCUUCUCCACUUGUGUUGACUUGGACCAAGACCUUAAGAGGUUUUCUCCCCAAAUCAGCUACCACCCGAUCAAGACGAUUUGCGAUCUGAAAGAAAAACAAAUAUUACAUUCAAUCUCAUUAUAGAUGCAUGAUAAAAAAUCUGGUCUUGCAACAAGACGAAUGUAAUAGAGACACAAGCUUUGCAUUUUCUUGAGAAAAAAAAACAAGAUAAGAAUGCUAACACAAUGCAAAUUUUAUUUCCAAGGCCUAUUGGCGCAAUAAAAUAUUAUUACGAAAAAUAUGAUACAAAUAAAGCUAAAUAUAGACAUGUUGAUUGAACAAUGGAAAUAAACAACUUAACAAGUUCUAUGAGGUCAUCGAUAUGCAUGAAGCCUGGGAAAGCAUACUUUUUCUUGACCAAGCAAAAUAUGACCUUAAGAAGGCAACUACAGUGAAGUGAUCAUUGAUGACUAUGUGCCUGGUGUAAGUAUUUCCUAAAACUAGAAAAAACUGCAGUUGAAUAAACCAGAAGACAACAUAAACUGAGCAUAUACCUUCUCAUCGUCUACGCUCUCAACCAUGUCAAGAUUUGGUACACCAGCUGUAGGUUAAGAAAAGAAGAGAAACAUUAGCUCAAUAGCAAGCAAUAAAGUAGAGAAGAUAUCAGGUAUGAACACAUUUAAGUAAAAGAGGAAUAUCUCUAAAAAAGUUAGAUGAAAACAGGAGCUCUGUCAUUCAUUAAAAAGGAAAAGAGUUUACAAACAGAGCUUGCACACAGCAAUACAAAACCAACCAACCAAUCAUUCCAGAAUAAAGUAACUAACACUUAACUGUGUCUUAAGCUAAAACACCAGACUGAUCCUAUGACAACAAAAAUCACACCAACACCAAACCACAUCGUGCAAAUACUCCUAAUUUAUUGCAUAUGUUUGCUAUCUAAAAACAAGCGUAGUAUGAGUAAUAUAUAAAAAUUUAUGUAGCAGCGUCAAAACCUAAGCAACACUUGUCUCUGCCAGAAUAUCAAAACAAGAAUGCAGACAGUAACCUAGGAGGGCUUUGGCUUUGUUGCUCUGCAGGUUCCCAAUGAAGUGCCACUCAAUAUCCUCUGGAAGCUGCAACAAGAAGAACACGUUGUUAGACAACUACAUGACUGAUAAGAAUUAGGUCACUGGUCUGACAGACUACCAAACAUAGUGCUCAAGCCCUGCACCAGGCAAGUAUAUCCAUUUAAAUGUUUGAAACACUUCCGAAAUCCUUAAGAGUGGAAAGCUGUUGGGGAAAUACGGCCACAUCAUAGAAUGAUUGGUUAUACAAAAGCAAUGUCUGAUGUUCCAUAUACACCUCUACACAGGAUAAUUUUGUACCCUCUGGUACGAACCAAGCUUCAUGCGAGAGAGGACAGCAAACAAAGUGAAUAUGAACGUUCGGAUGAUCCUCGUAUUUUUUUCGGCUUCUUUGAAUCACAGUAAUUUUGGAGUUCAAUUCUUAUGAAAAUUUUCCUAUAGAUUUGGGUGUUUGAUUUUUAGGAUUAGAAACCAUAUAAUUUCUACCAUGGAGCACUUUGUAUUUCCAAUAUAAUAUCAAUUAAGUUUAAACUGUUGGCGAAAUUCCUAUGUUUUUGGUAU
rnacentral:lncRNA from 1 species